rnacentral:lncRNA from 1 species
UUGCAGCUUAUGGAGAAGUCAUUUUAGACCAGCUCAAGCGACUUGUAAGCCACAAGCCUCUCUUUGUUUUCAUAGACACUUUUCAAGAACUCGAAAAAGAGAUCGUCGACCACAUGUCUAACCUCUGUCCUCAAGUCAAGUUUAGCCCUCUCGGUCCUCUCUUCAAGAUGGCUCAAACUAUAAGCUCUGACGUUAAGGGAGACAUCUCCGCGCCAGCGAGUGACUGCAUGGAGUGGCUCGACUCGAGAGAACCAUCCUCAGUCGUUUAUAUCUCCUUUGGCACUAUAGUCCACUUGAAGCAAGAGCAGUUCGAGGAGAUCGCUCAUGGUGUUUUGAGCUCUGGUUUGUCCUUCUUAUGGGUGGUCCGGCCUCCUAUGGAAGGUUCAAGUGUGAAACCAUAUGUAUUGCCUCGUGAGCUUGAAGAGAAAGGGAAAAUCGUUGAAUGGUGUUCACAAGAGAGAGUGUUGGCUCAUCCUGCGGUUGCUUGCUUCUUAAGUCACUGCGGAUGGAACUCGACAAUGGAGGCUUUGUCUUCGGGAGUUCCCAUGGUCUGUUUUCCGAUGUGGGGAGAUCAGGUGACUGAUGCUGUGUACUUGGUUGAUGUUUUCAAGACAGGAGUGAGACUUGGCCGCGGAGCGGCUGAGGAGAAGAUUGUUCCGAGGGAGGUUGUGUCGGAGAAGUUGCUUGAGGCCACCGUUGGGAAAAAGGCGGUGGAGAUUAGAGAAAGCGCACGGAGGUGGAAGGAAGAAGCGGAGGCAGCCGUGGCGUUCGGUGGAUCAUCGGAUAGGAAGUUUCAAGAGUUUGUGGACGAGUUGAUUACGAAAUCUGUUGCGAGAAAAGACAACGGAGAAUACUCAUGAUGAUGUCACGUAAUAGUCCAAAUUGUUGAUGUAACUCCGAAACCUAGACACCACUACGGUAUGUCAGUAUUCAUAUUAUCUUUUUUCUUUUUCCUUUUGGGUAAAUAACACAUCAAAUCCCAUCUCAUGCUCUAGUGAUGUCGAUCUAUCAAUUUUUACAUUCUAUUUCAUCACUUCGAGCCACAAGCACUUAGAUUUUUAAAACCAUUUUGAUGCAUUAAACUAAUGUCGCCAUAUGGCUUUAAGGUCAUUUAGUAUUGGGCAAUUAUCAAUAAUAGUACAUUUUGAGUUUUUGUCUCAAAAUAGCAUUAGAAGGAGAAAGUCACAAAAAUGACAUUCAUUUAAAGAGUAAAAUAUCUCUAAUACCAUUAGUUUAGAAUUAAAUAAACAAAAAAAAAUAAAAUAAAAAAUAAAAUAAAAAAAAUGGAAAAAAAUAAAACUUUUUUGUAUAGUUUCAGAUUAUAUGUUUUCAGAUUCGAAAUUUUUUAUAAUUUUUUUUGAAAUUAUUUUUUUCGAAUUUUAUUUUUAUUUUUUUUUCAAAUUUUCUUUUUAUAAUUCAAAAAUAAUUUUUGAAACUGUUUUUAAAAUUUAUAUUUUUAAUUUUUUAGUAUUUAUUUUUUAUUUUAUAAAAUUUUAAACCCUAAUUCCAAAACCCACUCCUUAACUCUAAACCCUAAGGUUUGGAUUAAUUAACCCAAAGGGUAUAAGUGUAUAUUUAUUUACCUCUUUAAUGAAAUAUAUUUUUGUGACUUUGAGCUUUGAUUGCUAGUUUAGGAACAAAAACUUGGUUUGAUGCUAUCCUAGUAUUUUUCUCUAUAAAAUAACUUCUUAUUCAUUAAUCUUUGUUUUUUUACUAAUCAAAAAUUAUGUCAUAAAAAAACUUUUGGAAACUUAUAAUAAAAUUUAUAGAAUCAACACAAUCUCAAUAAUCUUCUAAGAUUAUACAAUAUCAAGACUUUGAUAUUCAAACUAUUUAAAAUAAAAAGAUUAUUGCCAGCUUGUCUCAGACGGAGACGUAUGCAAAGCUUCUAUUUAAUCCGAAAAUUGAGAUAGAUGGAGAGACGAACAUAAGAAUAUAUAUAGCAGAAAAGAUUAGAUAGGAAUUAUCGAAAUUGAAGGUUUUAAAGAACAAGGAUAGGUUUCAACUUGUCUGACAAUAAACUUUACGUGUAACUAUAGUUAAUCCGAAAAUUGAAAAAAGAAAACAAAAAAGACCGAUAAAUUACUAUAGGGUUAAAAUCGUCCAAUAAAUAUCGAUAAUAACGGAGAAGUAAGUCGAUGGGUAUUGAGCUAAAUAGGGUAAAGUGCUAAUGUGUGGAGUGCAAUUUCUCAAAAUAAAAUCAGUUUCUACUUUCUAGUUUCCAUAAGGAAAAUAAAAAUCGAUGGAACCGUCUCUUGAGCAUGUGAUGCUCGUAUCUUUCCCAGGCCAAGGGCACAUAAACCCUCUACUUCGUCUCGGAAAGCUCAUAGCUUCGAAAGGCCUACUGGUCACCUUUGUCACCACAGAGCAGCCAUGGGGAGAGAAGAUGCGUCAAGCCAACAAGAUUCAAGACGGCGUGCUCAAACCGGUCGGUUUAGGUUUCCUCCGGUUCGAGUUCUUCAACGAUGGGUUAGCCGACGAUGACGAAAAAAGAACCAACUUCCAAGCCUUCCGACCACACCUUGAACUUGUCGGAAAACGGGAGAUCAAGAACCUCAUCAGGAGAUACGAGCAAGAGGAAAAGCAACCUGUGAGGUGUCUUAUAAACAACGCUUUUGUGCCGUGGGUGUGUGACGUGGCUGAUGAGCUUCAUAUCCCUUCGGCUGUUCUAUGGGUCCAGUCUUGCGCUUGUCUCACCGCUUAUUAUUAUUACCACCACCGGCUAGUUAAGUUCCCGACCAAAACUGAGCCGGAGAUUAACGUUGAAAUCCCAAGCUUACCUUUGUUGAAGCAUGGCGAGAUCCCAAGCUUCCUUCACCCUUCAUCUCCCUUUGCAGCUUAUGGAGAAGUCAUUUUAGACCAGCUCAAGCGACUUGUAAGCCACAAGCCUCUCUUUGUUUUCAUAGACACUUUUCAAGAACUCGAAAAAGAGAUCGUCGACCACAUGUCUAACCUCUGUCCUCAAGUCAAGUUUAGCCCUCUCGGUCCUCUCUUCAAGAUGGCUCAAACUAUAAGCUCUGACGUUAAGGGAGACAUCUCCGCGCCAGCGAGUGACUGCAUGGAGUGGCUCGACUCG